rnacentral:sRNA from 1 species
AUAUAUAGAGUUUAAAAAAAUCUUAAUUUUUUCCGUCAUAUUUUGUGAUUCAACGUCCCGCAUCGACAAAAAUAUAUAGACAAUGAUUUAUAAACAUAUCAUAAAUAAGAUCAACAUUAAUAUAAAUAAAUGGUUUUUUUACGGGACGGGUUUGGCGGGACGGGUUUGGCAAGACGUUACUUAAUAACAAUUGUAAACUAUAAAAUAAAAAUAUAUUAUAGAUAGAUACAAUUUGCAAAAAAAAA